UACCUGCAGCUCAAGUGGUGGCCGUUAUUAUUGGGCCUAAAACGUCCGUAGCCGGUCUAUUAAAUGCCUGGGUAAAUCGGGCCGCUUAACGGUUCGAAUUCCGGGUAGACUGAUAGACUUGGGACCGGGAGAGGCUAGAGGUACUCCUGGGGUAGAGGUGAAAUUCUGUAAUCCUAGGGGGACCACCAGUGGCGAAAGCGUCUAGCUAGAACGGGUCUGACGGUGAGGGACGAAGCCCUGGGGCGCAAACCGGAUUAGAUACCCGGGUAGUCCAGGGUGUAAACGCUGCUUGCUUGAUGUUAGUCGGGCUCCGAGCCCGAUUAGUGUCGGAGAGAAGUUGUUAAGCAAGCUGCCUGGGAAGUACGGCCGCAAGACUGAAACUUAAAGGAAUUGGCGGGGGAGCACAGCAACGGGUGGAGCGUGCGGUUU
rnacentral:rRNA from 1 species